rfam:Oryza barthii chromosome 6, whole genome shotgun sequence.
AAAAAAACAAACCCUGCGUUUCCGUGUCUAAUUUUAACUGUCCGUCUUAUAUAAAAUUUUUUUAUAAUUUGUAUUUUUAUUGUUGUUAGAUGAUAAAAUAUAAUUAAUAUUUUAUAUGUGACUUGUCUUUUUAAUUUUUUUUAUAAUUUUUUCAAAUAAGACGGACGGUCAAAUAUUGGACACGGAAACUAAGGUUUGCUUCUUCU